GCACGCUGCUGUUCUGUCGUUUAGCCAAAGCUCUGACGCGCAUGGCCAACCCCCCCACCCAUCACCAUCUGUCUUUCAGUUUUUAAGAAUGAGAGAUGAGGCACCAGAGGUCCCCAGGGAGCAAAUCUGAAAGCCAGCGCCUCCUGAGCACAGGCUGCCAGGGGCGAGACGACAUUAGGCAUUGUCCCCAGAUAUAAGAAGCAUCACUUCCUUCAGACAGAGCAGAUUGAUAGAUGAAACAUAAAACAAGACCAGAUGCUGUGGUUUCCAGGAUGCACUUGGCUUCCCAUCCUUUAUAACCUGGAGCAUUUUUUUGCCGUCUGUUCCUGAUGUGUCCACAAGAGACCAGUCCCAUGGUAUCCAUUGGGUUUAAGAACAUGGACAUUGCAGCCCAACAGACUUGGCUUUAGAUGUAAGAUCUGUUAUUUACUAGCUCUGUGACUUUGGGCAAAUUAUUAAGCUCUCUAAGCCUCAAGUUCCUCACCUUUAAUACAGGGACAAAAGCGGUACUCACACCAUGGAGUUGCACUGAGAAUUAAAUGAGAUAGUGUGUGGCAAGUGCUGAGCUCUAUACCUGGCACUUAGCAAGUGCUCGAUAAACAUGCCAUUGUAAUACCUCAGAUGUUAUUUUCAUUAUACUGUGAAGUGAUAUUCUCUCAUUUCCAGAAGCCCUGUAUGGACAAAGAUUCCUUUAUAUCUCCUUCGUGUUUGCAUGAGGACUUCACCUCUCAAGUUGUCAACUGUGGCAUCUUGUCUGGGAAUGUUUAUCUUCUCUGACUUGUGAAGAGGCUAUGCCUCUAUCUCUUUGACCUCUUAGUUCUCUCAUUCUAAGUUUUAAUACACCCCUCUGAGUGAGUCUUACUGAUUAGUAUUCUGUAAACCAUUAAUGCUAGUUACAUAAAACCUGUAAGAUUCCAUCCUUGUUACCCCCCAGACAAAUAAGUUUAAAAUAUUGGUCAAUCCAUGAAAAUGACUAUCUGGAUAUUUCUCAGUUCACUGAAGACCAUCAUUAGUAUUGGCUGUCGUUCCCAUCUGUCUAAUUACAGCCAUUUAUUGAGCUUACAGUUCUUGCUCUCAUGGAGUUCUGAAGACUGAAAUGUCUUGUGAAAAUGCAAGUCUUCAUAGAGCUAUUGAUUUUUUUUAAGGUAGAGGUUUAACCUAUCUUUCAUCUCCAUUCAUUAUUUGUUUUGGGAAAACUUCCUUACUUAGAUUGCCGAGUGACUUUUGCACACAAGAAAGAAAUUAGUUUAACAGAUGAAAGUGAGAUGCUGAACCAGAUUUGAGAUUUUAGAGGUCAAUCCUUUGCAUGUCUUAUUUCUUUGCAAACUACAACCUUUUUGUUACCCUUGAGGACUAUCUUAACAUCAGAGCUGCUAUUCUUCAUACAAUAUUUAAUUCAUUUGAACGUAACAUGUUUUUAAAAAAAUAUUUACUAUGUGCAACUCAUGGAAAUGCUCCUAAAGUUGAGGGAAUUCUACUCAGCAAAAGAAAUGGAAUAUCCUGUUUAGAGACUGAGUGCAUGGCUUCCAAAGGCAAAGGCAAGGGCAAAACUUGCUAAUUUUAGAUGUUUAGGGAUGAAAUGUCUACUAGAGCUUGUUUCGUCUUAGAGAGGCCCAACAGUAGCGUACUAGCAAGCUAAUGUUAAAUUUGCCCUCCCCAUCUGUUUAUUGCCAAUGUUUCUGGAAACAGAAAAACAAAACAAAGGGGUAAGGGAAAAAUAAAAGCAAAGUCUGUAUGUAACUUGAGUUAGAGAAGUGCAGGAAACAAAUCAAAUAUACUAAGUUAGCAUUGCUCAAAGUCCCAUUCAACUUCAGAAUAGUAUACCUGGUAGAGUUCCACAAACCUUUCUCCUUUCUAGCCUGCUGCUUAUUAAGUUUAAAUGCCAGAAGCAUUCUGAGAGCUCUGAAUGCCCAUAUAAGGCCUAGAGCCAGAGACAUGCCCCAAACCCAUUUCUUUAUAUUUUCUGAAUUCCCAAGUAAACGAGAGAUCAGAAAAAGGGACAGUAAAGGAAAGGAGACAAAGAGGUCGACUCCCCAACAGUGUUUUCUUCCCCUUUGGUGUUUUGCAAAAAGCUGAAGAGAUGCUAUAAUGAUUCUUUUGUUUGUUUGGUUUUUUUUGUUUGUUUUUUUGCGGUACACGGGCCUCUCACUGUUGUAGCCUCUCCCAUUGCGGAGCACAGCCUCCGGACGCGCAGGCUCAGCGGCCAUGGCUCACGGGCCCAGCCGCUCCGCGGCAUGUGGGAUCUUCCCGGACUGGGGCACGAGCCCGCGUCCCCUGCAUCGGCAGGCGGACUCUCAACCACUGCACCACCAGGGAAGCCCGCUAUAAUGAUUCUUUAACCAACUGAAAGCACCAUUAGAAUUCUGUCUAGAUAUUCUUGAACCUCUGACAGGGCAGUGUUCCACCUUCCACACUCCAGUCCAUCCAUCAUUCAAUACUACUUAUGCUAGAUAAACUGGCUUGCCAUAGUUUAUUAUCAUGUUGUCCUCACAGACUAGUAUUCGAGGAGCCUCCCCUGACCACUUCUUGGGACUCUUGGAAGUAAACAGAGAAACAGUUUAAAUGAAUGAUAAAAACCCAUGAAAUACAGUGAUUGGUUUUUUUUGUGGGGGGAGAGUAAAUAAUCAUAUGUCUUCAGCUGAGAGAAUCAUAAGGAUUUCUAGCACAUGAAUACACAUUCACAGCCCCAAAACAGAAGACAACUAAAAAAUCUCUGCAGAGGGACAGCAUUUCCUCCACAUUCCAUAGGAAGGUGGGGAUCUAUGACACUCCAUUUUAAUGGUCAUCCCCAAAUUCCGUUUCUGUGCCCAACACAGUAAAGCAUUUCCAAGUACAGAGUGUCAGACAGGUGAACGACAAACAAACAUCCUCUGUCAAAAUAGUUUGAAGCGUGCAAGAUGUAGAUUAUUGAGUACAGUGCUUGAAAAAUGCUAAAUUAUGACAGUCCUCAAUGACAGCUCUGUGACCUAUCUCAUGUUAGGUAGCCUUUCUGGGUUUCUGCCUCUGAAAUUGAAAUAGUUCUACCAACUUCAUAAUUCCGUGAUUCUGUGAUUCAUUCAUUCUGACCUGUAUGUGGGAUAACUUUUGUUUAAAUUUUCUCCCCUUUAGAAUCCAACAAAUGAAUGCUAAAUUUGAACUCUAGGUUUCAGAGUAUACUUGAACAUAUUAAGAAAUUAUAACAAUUUCUAACAAGACUUGUGUACUAUACUACCUUGUCAGCUACCAUUUUGCCUGUCAUAGUUUUGUCUCGAUGUGGUUUUGUAUUUGUAUGCUUAAAUUUUACAAUCUGUGAUCUCUAUGUAUAUAUGUAUGGUUGAGUUUAGUUCCUUGAAACCAAAGCAUUAAAUAUCGGUAAGGGCUAUAUCAAGAACUUUAAAAAAAGAAGUGUGGUUAAUAUAAAUUCCAUCUUCCACAGAAGAUCAUGACUUUCAGAAUAUGAACUCGUGAACAACCGAGGGAAAAGAUUCUUUUCUGCUUUAUAACUAACUUUAUUGUUUUAUUCUCUUGAGAAUUCCCUAUCGAACUUGCCAAUGAGGGUUUUAUCUAACAUGGCACUUUUCUGGAAUGUAACCAUCACUACCCCCAGUUAGUGAGAGAUUACUAUAACAAACAGUAAAAACACUCACAUAGAUUCUCAUGAAUCAUGUUUUAAUUGAGAGCUAGCCAAAGAGGAAGGGUGGAGAGGUAAGGACAUAGAUUUAUCUCUGCUUGUGUGUUCAUUUGUACUUUUAUUA